rnacentral:rRNA from 1 species
UACGGAGGGGGCAAGCGUUAUUCGGAAUUAUUGGGCGUAAAGGGCGCGUAGGCGGCUAGAUGUGUCAAAGGUGAAAUCCCUCGGCUCAACUGAGGAACUGCCUUUGAAACUGUCUGGCUUGAGGCCGGGAGAGGGUAGCGGAAUUCCCAGUGUAGCGGUGAAAUGCGUUGAUAUCAUCAGGAACACCGGAGGCGAAGGCGGCUCACUGGGGCUUUUCUGACGCUGAGGAACGAAAGCCAGGGUAGCGAACGGG